ACCUGGCUGGCUCAGUCAGUAGAGCAUGAGACUCUUGAUCUCAGGAUUGUGAGUUUGAGCCCCAUGUUGGGUG
rnacentral:tRNA from 1 species